AAUAGGAUUUGAAAAAAAAACUUCGCCCCUAUUUAUCAAACUUGGAAAGUUCUUAGACUUUAAAAUCAUUCUAAUGUUAAGAUUUUGAGAGUAAAAUACUUAAAGUUUGUAAAGCAGUUAAAGUGUUUUCAUUAUAUUAUGUAUGUAAUUACUAUGGUGACAGUUGACAUAAAAUAUUUUUGAUAAUGCAAAAUUUCUCUUGUAAGGAAAUCUGGAGAACUUUUAUGAAUAUUGAAACCUAUGUCUUUGAACAUGGAAUACUUACCAAAAUUUAAGACAAUGAAAUCGAAGAACUUCAUGCUAACACUUGCAUCAGUGGAAGUACUUCUUAUUGGAUAGAGAACUUUUCAAGGUCAGACAUCAGCUUUUGAAGUUGCAUUCUUGGCACAUCAUGCUGUCCAGUGGAGUUCAUACCAUAUGCCAGGCCUUUAUACAUGGUCAAAGAAGAUGAAUUUGUUAUUCAAUUUGUGAAAUUUGAUUUAAGGAGGACUUUCAUAUAUGAUGAUUAUAUUCAGCAGAUUAUCUUCAAGUGUGCACUUUAUAGAAUCACAGUUUCUAGGAGGUUUUCAAUUUAAAGUUAGAUUAAUUGAAAAAAUGAUGAAAAGUACAUUGUUAGAACUUCAAAUAUGCAA